rnacentral:rRNA from 1 species
CCCUUAGAUGUCCUGGGCUGCACGCGCGCUACACUGAUGCGCUCAACGAGUUUACGAUCUUGCCUGAAAUGGCUGGGUAAUCUUUUUAAAACGCAUCGUGAUAGGGAUAGAUUAUUGCAAUUAUUAAUCUUGAACGAGGAAUUCCUAGUAAACGCAAAUCAUCAAUUUGCAUUGAUUACGUCCCUGCCCUUUGUACACACCGCCCGUCGCACCUACCGAUUGAAUGGUCCGGUGAAGCCUCGGGAUUGUGGCCAGUUCACUUUAUUGGGAGUUGGCUGCGAGAACUUGUCUAAACCUUAUCAUUUAGAGGAAGGUGAAGUCGUAACA